UACGUAGGGUGCAAGCGUUAAUCGGAAUUACUGGGCGUAAAGCGUGCGCAGGCGGCUAUGCAAGACAGAUGUGAAAUCCCCGGGCUCAACCUGGGAACUGCAUUUGUGACUGCAUGGCUAGAGUACGGUAGAGGGGGAUGGAAUUCCGCGUGUAGCAGUGAAAUGCGUAGAUAUGCGGAGGAACACCGAUGGCGAAGGCAAUCCCCUGGACCUGUACUGACGCUCAUGCACGAAAGCGUAGGGAGCAAGCAGG
rnacentral:rRNA from 1 species